GCAUGAUUUGCCCAUGAAGRUUAUGGUGUUAUGCUAGCAAACAUGGAAGUCAAUGGUUGUAUAUGAAAUCUGAAAGGUUAACUUCCUAGCUGACUGUAUAGUUACUCCCUAUUAAUCAAGCAGAUGCCUGCAACUUUAGCAUUGCGGUUUUUUUUUCCAAUUUAAUAUUUGGUUUAGAAAGAGGAAAGUUUGCAGAGGUAUGAAAUAACUAAUCUAAGCUACAGAAUCUUAUUAUACUUGUAUUUUAGCACUACAACUGAAACAGAACUCUGAAGAAUGCUGUGUCCGAAAUUUUAAAGUAUUCUUUACACAGAUGUUUUAGGAAUAUAGAGCUUUCUAACUGAAAAAGAUUAAGGAAGAACUUUGAGAAAAGACGUAUGUUUCACAUUUAGCAUAAAUCAUUCUUUUUAUAAAAUAUAACCAUAAUUUGGAAACUUUUUUCCUGUGAGAACCAAAAAACUCGUCUUUCUGUAUACAGUGUGAAUUAAUAUCAAUGAGUGUGAAUUAAUAUCAAUGAGUGAAUGCAUGUGGAAUACAGUGUAGUUGCCAAAUCAUUAAACCAAUGAGGGAUGACUGCUUCUAUCUUGAUAUAGAUAUUCUUUAUAUAUAAUGAAGGUUUCCAACUCUAAUUGUUUGCAAUUGCAUUCCUUGUAGAUUUAGUUUUCAAAGAUGAAUAUACACCACAAUUUUAUUUGAAUGCUGGAGAAAGUCUAAAUAAGACUAGCUAAUCUUUAAAAAAAAAAAAAAAAAAAAAAAAUCCCUGAAACUACAGUAUGAAAUUGAGGUCUAUAGUGUUAUUGUUCUAUGUAAGGAUAUUGGUUGUACUGCUGUGAAUUUGGUGACUUUUGUAUAGUGUAUCAUGCUUAUUUCUUUUUAAAUGUUUAGGAAUUUGCCAGAUCUUUUUUUGAUAUGUGGUUGCUGAAGCAUUAUUGCAGGACAGCAGUAAUGACUGAAGAACACCCUUCAGGAGUUAACGCAAGCACUUUAAAACCUACUCAAAGUCGAGAAAAAUAA
rnacentral:lncRNA from 1 species